GAGUCCUCGGUUUGCAUCCUGACCUGGUCCAGUUGUAUUGCAUACUCAUUAGGUUAGUGUGAUAAUGAUCGGAAGUCCUGGGUUCGAAUCCUGACCUGGUCCAGUUGUAUUGCAUACUCAAUAGGUUAGUGUGAUAAUGAUCGGAAGUCCUGGGUUCGAAUCCUGACCUGGUCCAGUUGUAGUUUUAUACUCAGUAGGUUAGUGUGAUAAUGAUCGGAAGUCCUGGGUUCGAAUCCUGACCUGGUCCAGUUGUAGUUUUAUACUCAGUAGGUUAGUGU